CCCUUAGAUGUCCUGGGCUGCACGCGCGCUACACUGAUGCGCUCAACGAGCCUAUCCUUGACCGACAGGUCCGGGUAAUCUUUGAAUCUGCAUCGUGACGGGGAUAGAUUAUUGCAAUUAUUAAUCUUCAACGAGGAAUGCCUAGUAGGCGCAAGUCAUCAGCUUGCGUCGAUUACGUCCCUGCCCUUUGUACACACCGCCCGUCGCUCCUACCGAUUGGGUGUGCUGGUGAAAUGUUCGGAUCGGCCGUUUGUCGCGGUUUCCGCGUCAUGUGGCUGAGAAGUUCAUUAAACCCUCCCACCUAGAGGAAGGAGAAGUCGUAACA
rnacentral:rRNA from 1 species